AGCAUUUUGUUGUUAGCAGGUAGGUAGCAACUUUGCUUGGUUGCAUGCAACAGUCCUGGAGGUGUCAUCUUGUCUACAAAUGAACUUAUUGGGAGUCUUUUGGAUGCAGUUGGUUGAGAUAUCUGUUUACCUGAUGACAUUGACUGGGCAACCCUUUGUGAUGCUGAUGUUACAGAAGAAGCAGGAGGACUUCUAGAUUGAGAAUGUUUGCAAGUGCUACUUCUACUGUCAUCAUGAUCUACCUCACUCACACUCCUGAAGGAUAUUUUUUAUGUCUGCAGGAGACUUCAUACAUGUGUAACCCUGGGUGUGACUCUACCCAUACCCUCACUUGAAGAGUGGGAACUUGGGGUACCCAACAGCCAGUA